AUGGUCGGGCGGUUGCGCGCCGGUGGUGGCUGGUGGGAGCGGGCCUUGGGCGGUGCAGCGGUGGAUGCGUUGGCUUCCAGCGCGGUUGAGAGGUGCGGCGGCAGCUGCUCCACGAGGUGGAGCCGGUGGACGUCGACAAUGGAGAUUGUGUGCUGUGCAGUGCUUCGGAUCUGCUUGGAUUCGGAGGUGUGGAGGAGCUUCGGGCGAAAGUCCAGCACUGACUUUGGGUCGGUACCGGCAACGGCGGCGCCAUGGCGCCGUUCCCCUUCUCGAAGGCGUUGCCGUGGAGCUCCAUUGCACGACUCUCCGGGAGAAAUCCCUAGCUUCGGAUGGUCGAAGCGGGCGAUGACGGCGGCUACGUCGUUUCCUUCUUUGAGACAUUGCCUUGGAGAGUCAACAUACUGCAGUUUGCACGUAUCUAUUCGUCGUCGGGGACAGUGGACGUCGGAGCGGCGGCUCCGGGUAGUUUCUGAUUGUGCGCCGAGAUGGCGAUCUCGGAAACAAUGUGAGUGGCAGCUCUAUGUGGCGGGGCUCUAUCUCGGCAUUGGUUGGGUGGCAUCCUUGUUCCGCUUGGGUGGUAGGGGUGUCGGCUUGGUCGAUGCGCUCCAGAGGGGGCGAUCUGACUUUACGUCGGGGCGGCGGCCCCGGAUGCGGUGCGACGUUCGUGGUCUGCGAGCGGUCGCCCUGUGCAGCGUGGGCUGCGGGCAGCUGGGUUGUGCGGCGUUGCUGCUCUGGGGGAACGGUGGUAUGUCGGGGCGGCGGCCCCGGAAGGCGGUGCCGGUUGAUUGCGCUGGGCGCGACGGAGCGGUGGAUGUCGGGGCGGCGGCCCCGAGAGAAUCACUGUGGCGACCAAACUUCUGUGGCAACGAUGAUGGUGGGAGCGAUGUCGACAACGCGACAAUGGUUGCGGUAGUCGGCUCUUCUUCGGCGUGUUCACGGUAUUGCCUCGGUUUGUUUGUUGCUGUGGAGUCGAAGCUGCGGUGGCAGGGCCCUGUGGUGUACGAUGACUGGCUGCAGGUGGUCCGUUCGGUGAUCUUCCGUGGCGCCAGCCGUGCCUGGUUUUGUUCUUCUGAGUUCUCCGUCAGAGUCGGAGCUGCGUUGUUUGGCCGUAGGUCCACAUGUCGUCGAUUAGGGUGGGCUUUGCCCUGUGUGUUUCAGUCUCUGGGUGUGGGCUUGGCCCUUGUUGUUUCGGUUUUCGCCCGGUUUUCCGUAAUUAACUGGGCAAUUCUCUUCUGUUUAAUUAAUAGAUAA
rnacentral:rRNA from 1 species